GUUAUGCAAUGGGAACGCUUGCACCAGGUCGCUGUUCGGACUGGCAGCAAAUAAACUAUACAGGUGGUGAUUCAGGAACCGAGCCAUAUGUCGUAGCUCACAACCAGCUUCUUGCUCAUGCAGCUGCCGUAAAAUUGUACAGGACAAAGUAUCAGGUUCUGCUAAAAACACUUCUCUGCAUCAUCGUCAAUGAAUUCCUCCGAAAAGAAGACAAAUAACUUGAGGGCUAAAAAGAAAUUAACCUUGAGGUUGAAUUAUUUUGCAGGCGAAGCAGAAGGGAGUGAUAGGGAUUACAUUAGUGUCGCAUUGGUUCGUGCCCUGCACAAAUGCCAAGCAUCACCAGAAUGCUG
rnacentral:lncRNA from 1 species